rnacentral:lncRNA from 1 species
GCUUUGUCUGGUAUUCUUCCUCGUCCUGUUGAUUUUGAGGAAACGGGUCAGAAGAUAAAGGAUGUUAAUAUGGCUUUGUUAAAUUUAUGUUUGAGUUAUGAAGUCGAAUUCAUUCAUUCGUAUAGAUAUUUUUUGAAAUGUGGAAAGCCAAAGGUGGAGCUAUUUGCCUAUAAAGAUGGUGGGUUACAUCUCAAUUGUGAAGGUACAAGGCAGUUAGGUUUAUAUUUUAAAAGAAGGGUUGCUCAUUUAAUUUAGAU